rnacentral:rRNA from 1 species
UACGAAGGGGGCUAGCGUUGCUCGGAAUCACUGGGCGUAAAGGGUGCGUAGGCGGGUCUUUAAGUCAGGGGUGAAAUCCUGGAGCUCAACUCCAGAACUGCCUUUGAUACUGAGAAGCUUGAGUCCGGGAGAGGUGAGUGGAACUGCGAGUGUAGAGGUGAAAUUCGUAGAUAUUCGGAAGAACACCAGUGGCGAAGGCGGCUGACUGGACAUGUAUUGACGCUGAGGUGCGAAAGCGUGGGGAGCAAACAGG